CGCUUCUUCUUUCCCGGGCAUCGGCAACUCAUCGACGACUAGAUUUGAAAUCGAUCUACCUCCGCCGCAUCCUUCACCUCCGAAGAUCCAAAAAAGCCUGAAAGAUUUAAGAUGACCGCAGCGAUGGAUCCCAAAACCCCCUCCCAAAGCCCUAACCCUAGCUCUAAACACAACGUCUACCACAUUGGGGGCGUCCCUGUGGAGUUCCCCCAUAGGCCCUAUGGAUCUCAGCUCGCGUUCAUGGGACGCGUCAUCUCCACCCUCGACCGCGCCCGCUGGCAGGGUCACUGCCAUGCCCUCCUCGAGUCCCCCACCGGCACCGGCAAGUCUCUCGCCCUCCUCUGCUUCUCUGUCGCCUGGCAGCAGCACCAGCGCAGCAUCCUCCUCGCCACCCUCACCCAGCCCACCCCCGAUCCACUCCUCCAUGGCGGCGGCUUUAUUCCUGAACCCACCAUGCCUUCAAGAAACUCGGAGCAGCUACGAGCGCUAGGGCUCAGAAGAGACUGUUCGCACCUAAAAUUUUCUAUGCCAUGCAAUUAAAGCUGCUACAGAUGCAGAGCCAGGAGAAAUUUAUUUAAGUGGCAUCUCAGCUAUUACACUGGAGGGACUGUUCUCCUUGCUUAAUUAUUUUUUCUCUGAAAAUGGCUCUCACGCACUUGAUUAUCAACUUGCGCUGCAGCAACAUGUUCAAAGAGAUGGUAAACAUUAGUGUAGCAGAUUUCAUGGCCAAUUCAGAUUGGUCCAACAACUUCAGAUGCUCACUUCCCUCAUCAGGCAUCAUAGAAUAUCAACUACUUCAAACCAAGCUUCACGACAGUCAGCUUACAGAACAUGAAGAUCACAGAUGUUGGAUUUGGAGCUCAUCCAAUAGGAACUCUGUUUCCAAAUGUUAUGAGUUUCUAAUUCAUGGGGGAGUUAUCUCCUAUUUUGGCAAAGUGAUUUGGAAGCUUCCGCUGCCAAAGACAUGCAAAAUUUUCAUUUGGCUCUGCUACAACAAGCGUAUUCUAACCUGGGAUAUUCUGAACAAAGAAAGGAAUGCAAGGUCCAAGCCAAUGUCCGCACUGUUGUGGUCAUAGCGAAGCCUCAAAUCAUCUUUUCACCUCAUGCCGCUUCACAAAGGAAAUUUGGUCACAAUUACUCCCUCAUACAAAUCUAUCGAAUGAUGUCACAGAAUUCUGGCUCCUGUGGAGAAAACGGCAUGCUGAUAAACAACUUCAGAGACAUUUUGAUACAAUGGUUGCUACUACCUUAUGGUGCAUUUGGAAGGAAAGGAAUAACAGAAUUUUUCGUUGUGAAGCUCUCAGCCAAUUCGCCAUGGUGAAAAAGAUUUUAUCUCUUCUUGAGGAAUGGACGAGAAGUUGAAAAGAUAAUCUAUCAGACAGUUCCUAUAUAACCUCUCACCAAGAGGAAAUAUCCCACUUCUUACUUAAUCUUUGUACGUACUAAUACCCUGGAAAUAGAUUCCAAACUCUACUUUCUUGCUUCCUGAUUUUGCUGCUGUUAGCUAGUUAAAACUAACUGUAACAACCAUCUUGCUUUCUGCUUCUGUAAACAUCCCCCUCCUUUUACCUUCUUUCCUUUUGUAAACAGCAUCCUUUUAUCAUUAUGAAUCAUA